rnacentral:rRNA from 1 species
AGAGUUUGAUCCUGGCUCAGAACGAACGCUGGCGGCAGGCUUAACACAUGCAAGUCGAACGCUCGUGAGCGAUCACGGGAGUGGCAGACGGGUGAGUAACGCGUGGGAACAUACCCUUCGGUUCGGAAUAGCUCAGGGAAACUUGGAUUAAUACCGGAUACGUCCGCGGAUGAUAAGUCCGCGGGGAAAGAUUGAUCGCC